rnacentral:rRNA from 1 species
AGAGUUUGAUCCUGGCUCAGGACGAACGCUGGCGGCGCGCCUAACACAUGCAAGUCGAACGGAGCUUAGAGAGCUUGCUUUUUAAGCUUAGUGGCGAACGGGUGAGUAACGCGUGAGUAACCUGCCCUAGAGUGGGGGACAACAGUUGGAAACGACUGCUAAUACCGCAUAAGCCCACGGUACCGCAUGGCACUGAGGGAAAAGGAUUUAUUCGCUUUAGGAUGGACUCGCGUCCAAUUAGCUAGUUGGUGAGGUAACGGCCCACCAAGGCGACGAUUGGUAGCCGGACUGAGAGGUUGAACGGCCACAUUGGGACUGAGACACGGCCCAGACUCCUACGGGAGGCAGCAGUGGGGGAUAUUGCACAAUGGGGGAAACCCUGAUGCAGCGACGCCGCGUGGAGGAAGAAGGUUUUCGGAUUGUAAACUCCUGUCGUUAGGGACGAUAAUGACGGUACCUAACAAGAAAGCACCGGCUAACUACGUGCCAGCAGCCGCGGUAAAACGUAGGGUGCAAGCGUUGUCCGGAAUUACUGGGUGUAAAGGGAGCGCAGGCGGACCGGCAAGUUGGAAGUGAAAACUAUGGGCUCAACCCAUAAAUUGCUUUCAAAACUGCUGGCCUUGAGUAGUGCAGAGGUAGGUGGAAUUCCCGGUGUAGCGGUGGAAUGCGUAGAUAUCGGGAGGAACACCAGUGGCGAAGGCGGCCUACUGGGCACCAACUGACGCUGAGGCUCGAAAGCAUGGGUAGCAAACAGGAUUAGAUACCCUGGUAGUCCAUGCCGUAAACGAUGAUUACUAGGUGUUGGAGGAUUGACCCCUUCAGUGCCGCAGUUAACACAAUAAGUAAUCCACCUGGGGAGUACGACCGCAAGGUUGAAACUCAAAGGAAUUGACGGGGGCCCGCACAAGCAGUGGAGUAUGUGGUUUAAUUCGAAGCAACGCGAAGAACCUUACCAGGUCUUGACAUCCGAUGCAUAGCGCAGAGAUGCGUGAAGUCCUUCGGGACAUCGAGACAGGUGGUGCAUGGUUGUCGUCAGCUCGUGUCGUGAGAUGUUGGGUUAAG